AGAUGUUAUUCACAACUGUUGUAAUAAGUAUAAUGGCUACAGCAAUGGAGUUUUGUAGUAGGGGAGAGAGAAUGGGCUUAACCUCAGAUACAGAGAAAAAAAAUGAGGAUUUGUAGCCAAGGAUCAGGGUAGGGGGUUGGUGGCUGGAAAAUUACUUAGAGAAAACAUCAGGUAUGAGAGGAGAUUUUGGACCUAACAGGAUUCUUGCUAAGGGUGGAUCAGAUAUCAUGUGGGGGAUAGUGGAAAAUUAGGACUCUGAUUUGAUAUCCACAAUGAUCAGCUAUCAAGUACGAGGGAUUCCAGCUAAAUGAAAUUUUUACUAAAACUGGAUUCUUGAGGACAUGUCUGGGAAUGGGGCACAGUAUAAAAAGAACUCAGAGGAGCCUGAAUGAAGUUUGAUUAAGGAGAGAAUCUUUGUCAUCUACCAUAUUACAACUACCAGACAAAUGAGAAUAUAUUUUUAUUUGGCAAAACCUUGGCCAGCACAAACUAAGAAAUUCUGAAGCCAUUUAGUUUUUCAAAAAAUUAUAUGGGAAAUAAGCUUAAGUUUCACCAUGAUAGAAGAAUUUUGCCUGAAGACCCAGUAUUGUUAGCCUUUUAUGUCUCUCAUGAGCAUGCGACAGCACUAAAAAUGAAAAUUAGAUUUAACUAUAGCAACAAACAUCAUCACAUAGAGUAGAUAGAACAAAAGUAACCAGGAGAACAAGCUUUAGAGAUGAUAAAAGCUCAGUAUCUUGGCAACCUUUUAUGUUGGGUUAUUUUUAAAAAAUGGGUAAUAUUGUGCUCUAGUUCUAAUUUAUUCAACUACUUGCUGAGUGAUAGCAACAUUACAACUACAGAACCUGUAUGUCAUCUUGACAUUGCUGUGUUUCCAGCAAACAACACCUCUUUAUUCCUCUUCACGUGUCCAGAAACACUGUGAUUUAGGUAAAAAUUUACACACCACAGAAAGUCCCUUAUAAUUAUCUUGAUUAUAGAUCAUUUUGCAUUAAUUUUAAAGCCAUAGUAGAUAUGCAAAAUUUUCACUCUCCUAAGAAUUAUAUCUUCUUAUAUAUAAAUCAAUCAUGUGUUUUUGAUUGCUAU
rnacentral:lncRNA from 1 species